rnacentral:rRNA from 1 species
AAAACGACUCUCGGCAACGGAUAUCUCGGCUCUCGCAUCGAUGAAGAACGUAGCGAAAUGCGAUACUUGGUGUGAAUUGCAGAAUCCCGUGAACCAUCGAGUCUUUGAACGCAAGUUGCGCCCAAAACCUUCGGGUCGAGGGCACGUCUGCCUGGGUGUCACGA